GAAAUGCGAUAAGUAGUGUGAAUUGCAGAAUUCAGUGAAUCAUCGAAUCUUUGAACGCACAUUGCGCCCUUUGGUAUUCCUUAGGGCAUGCCUGUUCGAGCGUCAUUUACAAAUUCAAGCUCAGCUUGGUGAUGGGUGUCUGUCUCGCCUUUGUGCGUGGACUCGCCUCAAAUGCAGUUGGCAGCUUGUUCCUCGGCUCUAAACGCAGCAGAUUUGCGUUGAGCGUCGUGCGGACGGGCUCUCCAGGUAAGCAAACCCCCAAAAUUGACCUCGGAUCAGGUAGGGAUACCCGCUGAACUUAA
rnacentral:misc_RNA from 1 species